rnacentral:piRNA from 1 species
UGGGCCCUCCCCUAGAGUGUUCCUGCA